GGUGUGGGCCCGCACAGCUUCGGUGGACUGGUCGACAUAGUUGCAGUAUGGACAGCAGAACACCUGGUUUCCAGGAGAAGUUAAGGAGAGUACUCUUUCGGAAGGCUUGAAGCCAAAAAGUUCAGAAAAAUUGAAAGGAAGACGGGGCGAAAUAGAGGGAAUUCCACCGCCAAUGUUGUGGAAGUCGGAAUGACGCACGAUCCAGGACUUUAUCCUCGUCAGAGACUAAUUAAACUCUCAACCCAAGUGGGAUCGUUAAUAUCGAACGGGCUCGCCUCCCCGCCUGGGAAAGACAAUCUCACUCUACCUCAUACACCUUUGGGCAGAGACGGCAGAGGAUCUAGUGAACGUCUAAAAAUUAUGGUUCGACCAAAUCUGUGAAAUCGUAAGUCCAUGCACAACUUGAUCGCCCUUUCCCUGAUGCGCACAGACAAACCAUCUCCCUCAAUAAAAGUUGCCUUUGCAUUUUCACUAAUGGACAUAAUUCUUUCUGCAGACUUUA